GAGGUCAGGCUGAAGACCUUACCCGAUUAGCUGAGAGGUGGUGCAUGGCCGUCGUCAGUUCGUACUGUGAAGCAUCCUGUUAAGUCAGGCAACGAGCGAGACCACGUCCACAGUUGCCAGCAUACCCUCCGGGGUGAUGGGUACACUGUGGAGACCGCCGCUGCUAAAGCGGAGGAAGGAGUGGGCAACGGUAGGUCAGUAUGCCCCGAAUCUCCCGGGCUACACGCGGGCUACAAUGGCCGGCACAACGGGAAGCGAGUUCGCGAGGACGAGCGGAUCCCUCAAAGCCGGUCGCAGUUCGGAUUGAAGUCUGCAACUCGACUUCAUGAAGCUGGAAUCGCUAGUAAUCGUGGAUCAGCCAAGCCGCGGUGAAUACGUUCCCGGGCCUU
rnacentral:rRNA from 1 species